UACGAAGGGUGCAAGCGUUACUCGGAAUUACUGGGCGUAAAGCGUGCGUAGGUGGUCUGUUAAGUCUGAUGUGAAAGCCCUGGGCUCAACCUGGGAAUUGCAUUGGAUACUGGCAGGCUAGAGUGCGGUAGAGGAUGGCGGAAUUCCCGGUGUAGCAGUGAAAUGCGUAGAGAUCGGGAGGAACAUCUGUGGCGAAGGCGGCCAUCUGGACCAGCACUGGCACUGAGGCACGAAAGCGUGGGGAGCAAACAGG
rnacentral:rRNA from 1 species